GGAUACCUUGGAGACAUUGCAGGUUAAGUUGCAGAUCACCACGAUAAAGUAAAAAUACAUUAAAAUCAAAGAUGGCCAUGAAUUCCCUGAGAUGGAGAAGAACUAUUCUACUGAAGAGAUCAUAUGGAAAGACUUGGAGAUGACAUGGAAAGAGAGAGGAUCCCACAUAAGCCCAGCCUUCCAGCCACUCUCAUGAAGGUGUCAGGCUCAUGAGCAAAGAUCAGCCAACUGUCAGCUGAAUUCAACCAGCCGACUUCAGUGGAAAGUCAACUGAAAAACUGCCAAGCUAUGCCCUGCCUGAAUUCCCAACCCAUAAAAUUGUGAGUCAUAGUAAAAUGGCUAUUGCUGAAGCCACUACAUUUUGGCUUCGGCAACAGUCAUUUUACUAUGCAAAAGAUAGUGCCUAUCUUUAAUGCAAAAAAUGACUAGAGUCUGCCUAUAUAAUAAGGUAGCAUGAUUCAUUUAAUCUCUCACAUGGAAAUUAUAUAAAGCUAAAUGAACAAAUAUUGAUAAGAAUGAUAGAAACUAAAAUAAUACAAAAUGCACAGUCCUCCUUUGACUAAAAUUUAGCAGGGCAGCAAAAUUCUAGCAAUGAUUCAGUAGCAUCUGCAGCAAAAUUCUACUUACUGAUUUUAUCAUGCAACCCUGAAAAAAAGGAAUGAAGACAAACUUGAGGCCACCUCCCCAAAUUUAGGCUGGUACAAUCACAACAGACCACUCAGUGACUGAUUCUGAUGUUCUGAGAAUUAAAUGCUCAGGUUUGUUCUCUCAAUAGAUUUUAAAAAUGGCUGGAGCUGCCUAAUAUCAGUUAUUAGUAUCAAGAAUCAAACUUCUAAGCUAAAUAGAAUACUUUUCAUUUCAGGAAUGAUAACAAAGCUUUUCCAGGAUUUCUUCCCCCUCACUGCCCUCCCCCAUUGCAACCCAGGCACACAGUGAACAGAAAUAGAACGUGUCUAGAGAAGCAUAAGCCUUCAACUACUUGAUUGCUGACCAAACUUGAGUUGCAAUUCUGAAGAUCAAAGCAAGUUAAAAUGCAUGUGUAAAUUUGUGCAGGCCUGUGGAGCUUCAGUUCAUGACUUCAUGUCCUCAUUAGUUGGCUGCCAACAUCACUUAGGCUUGUUGAAAUACUGCUUGGGUGAUAUUGUCAAUGGAUUGUUUUUGUGAUAGAGUGUUCUGUACUGAACUGGCAUUUCAAGCCACUCAGGUCAAGAAACCACAUUAGUACCUAUUUCAAGAGUUUAGACUUACCUUGACAGGAUAAUAGGUGUAUUUCCAGUAACAUAGUGACAACUCAUCUUGCCUGAAUAUUUGCCCCUUAAACACUUCACAGUGGAAGUUCAGUCAUCAAUCAAGUUGUAAUGAGUCCCACCAUCCAGCAGUUAAUGCAAGAUUUAAACUUCACAUAAAGGGGGUUAAAGAUUCAUUUUUCAUGUGUAUAUUACCACCAAAAAGAAACAAAUAACAUUUGUAACCAGAACUUCUAAUAUUACUGCUGGAUGAAAGGCCUGUGCCUCCAAUUUUGCCUCCUUUUCUAAACUCAGAUGGUUCAUGAUUCUCCCCUUUCUCUAAAUGACAAGGCAAAAUGCUAAUAGAUGAACAUCUAAUGACAGUAUUUCCCAUACUCUCCACUGGAAUGUACAUUAACAACUUAAUUACUAAAGUUUUGUCUUUGAAAUCAUUUCGUGAAAAAAAUGCUUAUUAUUAAUAAUCCCUUGCUAGCAAAUAUAAGGCCGAUGUUAUAAACACAAAUGGUGAAAGUCAAGUAUGUCAAUUCCUACUGAGAGUUAAAACUGGGGUUAAUUAAGAGAAUAUUAAAUGAAAUGCUCUUAAUUUGCCAACUAAAACAUAUAAAAAAUAAUGAACAAGUUUGCUGAUACCCUUUUUUUUACAGGUAGCAAUACAGUCUUAAGACCAAAAUACAGAAAUGGUUGUGAGUAGAACUUACCAUUUUAAUUUCUUUUUUUUUUUUUGACUUUUAUUUCAAGUUCAGAGGCACAUGUGCAGGUUUGUUAUACAAGCAAACUCGUGUCAUGGGGGUUUAUUGUACUGACUAUUUCAUUAUCCAGGUAUUAAGCCUAGUACCUAUUAGUUAUUUUUUCUGAUCCUCUCCCUCCUCCCACCCUCCACCCUACUGGUAGGCCCUAGUAUUUGUUGUUCCCCUCUAUGCAUCCAUGUGUUCUCAUAAUUUAGCUUCCACUUACAAGUGAGAACGUGUGAUAUUUGAUUUUCUGUUCAUCUGUUAGUUUGCUAAGGAUAAUAGUCUCCAGCUCCAUCCAUGUUCCCGCAAAGGACAUGAUCUCAUCCUUUUUUAUGGCUGUAUGGUAUUCCAUGGUGUAUACAUACCAC
rnacentral:lncRNA from 1 species